CGAAUCAUUCACAAUGGGCGAAAGCCUGAUGGUGCGACGCCGCGUGGGGGACGAAGGUCUUCGGAUUGUAAACCCCUGUCACUAGGGAAGAAAAACUAUACGUUAACAGAUUAUAGUCUGACUUAACCUGGCGAGGAAGCCGUGGCUAACUCUGUGCCAGCAGCCGCGGUAAUACAGAGACUGCAAGCGUUAUUCGGCUUCACUGGGCGUAAAGGGUGCGCAGGCGGUCGUGUGUGUCAGGUGUGAAAUCUCGGAGCUCAACUCCGAAACUGCGCCUGAAACUACAUGACUAGAGCAUUGGAGAGGGUAGCGGAAUUCACGGUGUAGCAGUGAAAUGCUUAGAUAUCGUGAGGAACACCAGAGGCGAAGGCGGCUACCUGGACAAUUGCUGACGCUCAGGCACGAAAGCGUGGGGAGCAAAA
rnacentral:rRNA from 1 species